CUGAUCCAGUCUUGUCCACUUUACGCUAUAAGGACAAAAGUAUUGGGACCCUCAAAAAGCAGGAAGUGAAGAAAAUGCUGAGUUUGCCGCUACAUCAGUUUCCACUCUUCUAGAUUCUGGAUGAUUUUGGCGUGGUUAUGUGGGGAGUUUUGUCUUUUCGUGAGGUCAAAGAGCAGGCCUGGUUAAGUUCUUCCACACCAAACUCAUCCAAGCAUGCCUUAAAGGAUCUCUGCAAACUGACAAGGGGCCUUCCUCAAAGUUGGACGCAUACAAUUGUCCAAAUCUUCCAUCCAUGCCUCCAUUUUCUGAGCCGCUUCUCCUCACAGCCCAUCCCAGCCAUCAUCGGGCAGGAGGCGGGCUACGCCCUGAACUGGUUGUCAGCCAAUCGCAGUGUUCAAAUCUUGUUAAGAUUAAGAUUGAGUGACAAUUGUAUUGUUGAAUUCAAUGAUUAACCAGUCCUCCACUCCUGUUGGUGGCAGUAGUCCGAAUUUAUCAUUAAAAAUGGAGACCUAAGCCAUGCAAUAUUAGGGGGGUUUGUUUGGACGUUUCACUUUUUCGUAACCAAAACAAAGCCUUAUCGUGAUCCCAACACCCACGUGUGUGUGUGUGUGCGCGCGUAGGUCAUUUAUAGCCGAGCAGCUCAUCAAUCUCAAUAGUGCGGAGCAGUGCAAAGAGCGGCUGUAACGACAGACGUGAUCACCAUUCAGUGGACGAGUGUAAACGGGAGGAGGGAAGAAAGAUGAUGAGGAGGAAGAGGUGAAGGAGCGAACGUCGUGAAAGGUGGCGGGGGAAAAGAAGGAUGGGAGUUCACAGAUAAACAAGUUCACGGCACUGGCCAUUAGAAAGAAUAUGGCUGCACACGCUGUUUUUAUACGGUCGUGUGGAUGACCGCAGCACUGUGGACGUUCAGGUAGUGCGUGGACGCACAACUGGUUUUUUGGUUUUUUUUUGAGGCGGGAACAAACAGGCGCACAUCAAAGGAGGGCCGAACGUUGAAAUGUGCAGCCGCGCGGUGUAUAUUUUGCCUGCCGCUCGCAGAGGCGGGUGGUAGCGACAGCAGCUGCGGGGAGACGUCACAUGCGCCAUUCCUCACACUUCAACAGCCAACGAGAGAGCGAUUUAUGGACGCGGGGAGAAGGACACAUAAACAGAAGCGGCGGCGCUGGAAUAAACAAAGGCUGGAGGAGAUGAUGAUGAAAAAGAAAGAAAGCAAGAGGAAAGACAAAUAUACAAAGGAGGAAGUGACAAUAACAUUAAAUAUUCAAACAUGAGACGGUUAAAUCAUUUUUUUUUUUUUUUUAAUAAAAGGAAUACAGAACCUCUGGCUUUUUCUUUAGCUUUUUCUGGCCGCAAUUGUUCACAAAGGAGUACAGCGUUCCUCAUACAUUCAUGGUUUGUUAUUCGCAAAUUCAACCAUUCGCAGGCUUUUUUGGAAACCUAUCUUGGUGCCAAGCUUCCUUUUGUCCAGCCAUAGCAUUGUCUAAUGUAAAAUGAGUGUGGAUUGUGCUCAUACGCAAAACUUCCUCCAGUACCCGUGCUGUGCGUCUAGUUUGCUCCGCUUGUAGGACCCUACAGCUAUUGUGAACCUACAGUACAGAACUACAUGCAACAUGGAGGUCCAGUGGUGUGGAAAAUUACGUUUGCUUCUUUUUAAUAAAGCAGCUGACCAAG